rnacentral:rRNA from 1 species
CCGCGGUAAUACGUAGGUGGCAAGCGUUUUCCGGAAUUACUGGGCGUAAAGAGCGCGUAGGCGGGGAUUUAAUUCAGGAGUGAAAACUCCGGGCUCAACCUGCAGCGUGCUCUUGAAACUGGAUUUCUAGAGGGUGUGAGAGGAAAGCGGAAUUCCCAGUGUAGCGGUGAAAUGCGUAGAUAUCGGGAGGAACACCAGUGGCGAAGGCGGCUUUCUGGCAUACAACUGACGCUGAGGCGCGAAAGCGUGGGGAGCGAACGGGAUUAGAUACCCCGGUAGUACACGCCGUAAACGAUGGGCCCUAGGUGUUGGAGGUAUCGACCCCUUCUGUGCCGUAGUUAACACAAAAACNGNCCCGCCUGGGACGAC